GGAAAAACGUAGGGAGCAAGAGAAACUUGCAAGGGAGCAAGCUGAGAGGGAAAGACAAGCAGAAGAACAGAGGCGAAGAGAAGAAGAGAAGGCUGCAAGCGAAGCUGAUAAAGCCCAGGCAAAGGUGGAAACUGAAAAGAGGCGAGAAAUAUUGCACCAGUUGAUGAAAAAUGUUGCAAGAUCUGUUGAUAAUGUUUGGUAUAUUGAGCCUAGUGAGUUUAGCGGUGAUGACUUGGUCCGGCUAUAUUAUAACAAAAGCUCAGGUCCUCUCGCUCAUGCUAAUGACCUUUGGAUUCAUGGGGGAUAUAAUAAUUGGAAUGAUGGAUUGGUCAUUGCG
rnacentral:misc_RNA from 1 species